UGAAAGAACAUCACAAACAAAACAAAUUUAUUUAAUAGAAAAUGGUAGGAUUAUAGAAGAACUAAUCGCAUUUUACACCCAAAUAAAUAUUCACGCAAAACCUAAUUACAGAAUCUAAAAUUAAAAUAAGACAUCUCAACACACCCCUUCGUCUAUCCCCAUGCUACCUUCACCACCGUCAACCAUCGCUUUCCGAAACCACCGUCGAUCAUUGCUUUCUAAAACCAUAAUCGCUCUGGUUCUAAUGAUUACAAAGGGGAAAACUCUUGACGUAAUUAAUAGUUGUAGGCGCUGUUGUGAUCUUUGAGGUGCAAAGAAGUUCUAGAUCAGAGGCAAGAAAGAAAGAAAUGCGUGUAAACAAGAGGUGGAGGUAACAUAUGUUAAUUUUUCUUUCUAUAUUUUGUGGUAUUCUUUCAUCUCUUGUGGAAAUCUUGACUUGUUAUAUGUGUCCUUCAGUGUGAGGCUAGUGACAGCAAUUCCUUUCCAAAUUUCUUAAACAUUGUGUCACCAAAUUCUUUAACAAAAAUUAUACCCCAUGAUCUAGCAAACUUAGAAUGGGGAAAAAGAAUUUAAUUAUUAGUUGAGCAUACAAGAAUUUAUAGACAUAUUCAGUUCAGGCCUCCUAUUCAUAAUUUGUUUUUCAAGUUUUUUAACUUGAUAAAAACUUUAUGCAGAAAAUUCAAUGUGUUUCCUUAGGAUAUCAUUGCAGAGAAUUUGUCUAAUGUUAUGCCAUUAGGAUUAAUGAAGCAAAGGAAAAAUGGAGGGCUAUCCGAUUUUAGAGGUGAAAUAAUUCAAUUAGUAGUUGUUUUCAAUGGGGAUCACUCCUUAAACAGAUUCCUGAAUGAGAUGGGUAAAAGAGACAAUAAAUAAAGCUCAUGAAUAUGUUAAGGAAGUUAUUUUGUGACUUACAAGAACAAGCAAGGAGACUAUCAAAUUGGGAGUAGAUGAAAAUGUUAUAAAUCUUCAAAGUAGAAUGCUUUUGUUUAUCACAAAAUGUAGAAUGAUGUUUAUUUAUAUUUGUAAUGCAAAAUGUAAUAGUAUUUAGGGAAUCACUUUUGAUGGAGCUAUUUUGUUGCUUUUGACAUUGCUAUUUUAAAUGGCUAUAUAUGCAAUCAAAUUUGUUAUGUCAA